rnacentral:tRNA from 1 species
UAAUAUGAAGUGAUAGAUAUUACACCCAAUUUCGACUUGGCCCUAACUUAAUCAGUCUUAUUUU